rnacentral:rRNA from 1 species
UGGAGAGUUUGAUCCUGGCUCAGGACGAACGCUGGCGGCGUGCCUAAUACAUGCAAGUCGRGCGGGGCYYGAGGRGRGCUUGCCCUUYKMGAGCCCAGCGGCGGACGGGUGAGUAACACGUGGGUAACCUGCCCGUAAGACCGGGAUAACUCCGGGAAACCGGGGCUAAUACCGGAUAACACCGGGGGCCGCAUGGCUUCCGGUUGAAAGGCGGCCUUUGGCUGCCACUUACGGAUGGGCCCGCGGCGCAUUAGCUAGUUGGCGGGGUAACGGCCCACCAAGGCGACGAUGCGUAGCCGGCCUGAGAGGGUGGACGGCCACACUGGGACUGAGACACGGCCCAGACUCCUACGGGAGGCAGCAGUAGGGAAUCUUCCGCAAUGGGCGAAAGCCUGACGGAGCGACGCCGCGUGAGCGAGGAAGGCCUUCGGGUCGUAAAGCUCUGUUGUCAGGGAAGAAGGCGYGCCGUUCGAAUAGGGCGGCGCGGUGACGGUACCUGACGAGGAAGCCCCGGCUAACUACGUGCCAGCAGCCGCGGUA